AACGAACGCUGGCGGCAUGCCUAACACAUGCAAGUCGAACGAGACCUUCGGGUCUAGUGGCGCACGGGUGCGUAACGCGUGGGAACCUGCCCUUAGGCUCGGAAUAACUCCCCGAAAGGGGUGCUAAUACCGGAUAUUGUCUUCGGACCAAAGAUUUAUCGCCUUUGGAUGGGCCCGCGUGGGAUUAGCUAGUUGGUAGGGUAAAAGCCUACCAAGGCGACGAUCCAUAGCUGGUCUGAGAGGAUGAUCAGCCACACUGGGACUGAGACACGGCCCAGACUCCUACGGGAAGCAGCAGUGGGGAAUAUUGGACAAUGGGCGAAAGCCUGAUCCAGCAAUGCCGCGUGAGUGAUGAAGGCCUUAGGGUUGUAAAGCUCUUUUACCCGGGAUGAUAAUGACAGUACCGGGAGAAUAAGCUCCGGCUAACUCCGUG
rnacentral:rRNA from 1 species